rnacentral:misc_RNA from 1 species
AAACGCCUUUGUUAAUUCAUCCUUAUAAGGUGACUCUAUUUAGAAUUUUAUUAUAUUUUUGAACCUUGAAUAGACGGGAAUUUUAUGUUUUAAAUAAACAUUUAAAUUCGCUUUGAUAUUCUAUGGAGAUGUCCAUCUGUAACAAAAUUGCAUCGAAAUAUACACAAAGAUAAGAUCAAAGUUAGGUGUGGUUACACAUAUUUUAAAGAAUUCGAAUAAAAAGGAUUUUUACGGUGUUAUAACUAAAGGGCGUGACAUAUUUUGAGUCUUAAGAUUUAAUUUACAUCCUGGUGUAGACGCAGCAGCAAACCAUAAACAACAUCCGAACGAUAGAACAUAACUUGAUAUCAAAACCUGUGUGCCUAUUACGAUGGCGACAACAACUGUAUUUGUCGUUUUAUUAUGCGUCGGUUUCAGUUCCAGUGAUCAACCACUCGUUUCCCCGUCUGAUACAGCGGUGUUGGUAGGAGAUCAAGUAACCAUGAAAUGUGAACAGAAUCCUAAUGAACCAAUAUCAACACUUUUGGCAUGGAAAUACAAAGCUCAUGAUCAAACUAUCGAUGAAUCUAUUUCUGCUGCCAACAACAUCAUGCCCGGUCCAAAUGGAAUUAUCGCCCAGUCAUUUACAUUUGGGGAAACAACGUAUGAUUUACUGCUAUCCACUGCAGCCUCAACUUUUGCCGGUCGAUACACAUGCGAGGAUAUUAUGGGAACUUUUUUUAAAUCUGCAGAUUUACUUGUCGUAGAUCCAACUGAAUGUCCAAGUAGUCCAAUGACGGUGACAGCUGGCGACACUGUAACUCUAACACUGACCCCUCCCACACUAUACCAGCCUCCUGGUGACAGUUACGCAAUCAAGUACAUUUGGAAAAAGGAUGGGAACAUUCUAGCUGGAGUAACAUCCAACGAGUAUUCGGAAGCAGCUGGGACGGCAAGUUUUACCAUUUCUGUAGAGUAUAGUGUCUACAAGGGCGACGUACUCGUUCCUGGAGUACAAGAAUCCUGUGAAGUGGUAUACAAUGUUGAGCUUCCUACGACAGUCACAGUUAUAACCCGCCCUACCGAUAAAGCUGCUUGCUCGGGAGACAACGUUGUGGUAACCUGUGAAAUUGAUCUGACGGGGCUCGAUCUGAACCAAGAAGUAACAUACUGGGACAAAAUGUCUGAAGGAAACUCAAAUACUAAACUCUCAGAAAUGAACACCAAUAUUGUACCCGCAAUAGAAAGUGCAUUUCCUGGUAAAUAUGGAAUAAGUAGUACAUCCAAGUUCAGUUUGGAGAUCAGAGAUGUUCAAAUAGACAACGCCGGCGGUUAUAGCUGCAUUGACGCAUCAACGGGGAAUCCUAUUGGAGACAUAGCCAACUUGAUUGUAAUAGACUCAACAUGUCCGGAAGCAACCAAGGCGGUUACGAAAGGCGAUAACAUAGUGCUGGAGUGUUCAUUUCAAAGUAGCAUUGAUGCAGGCGGUGUCUCGUCGAUCGAAUGGAGUGUUGAUGGGAAUGUAGUUUCUGCUGGAAUUACUGAAACUAAAAAUGACAAAACUACAACGUCUACAUACACAACGCAAGCUGUAACAAAUCUGGAUGGAAAGACUAUUAAAUGCUCUAUUACUCAUCUAGAAAAUGAAUGUGAAUGUUUGACCAGCAUUAGUAUUAUAACCCCACCAACUCAAGGUAUCACAGUCACUAAAGGCCCAUCACACACAGCAGUUCUAAUGGGAGCUCCAACGGUGACUUUGGAUUGUGAGGUUCAAUAUGACCAAACGCACAUCAUAUCUUGGGAAGUUCCGUCUAAAGUUGGAGCAAUAAGUACAAAUCUUGCACUUCAAAAUGGCAUAGAUGCUAAUAAGUAUGCAAUUAGCACAACAAACCCUCUAAGUCUUGAAAUAAAGAACGUUGAUGGGACUGACGUUGGACGUUAUACGUGUCUUGACGUGACUGGCAACGUCGCUCUAGGUGGCAUAAGGCCUUACUUAAUGGUCAUGGAAAAAAUGGAAUGCCCAACCUCGCCGAUUGAGGUUAAAGAAGGUGAAGAAAUCCAGCUUCAGCAGAUUUUAGAAUACGUGGUCGGACCCGGUAAUAACCCACCUCAGUCCCCUGUUAUUGCGUGGGUUCUAAAUGGUUCCCCCUUAGACCCAAAUGAGGCGACAGUAUUUGUGAAUCCCAAGAAUACACUUACAUCUGUUGUUACAUAUAAUCCAUCGACCGCCGGUACCCUGACAUUCACAGCGUCUGUCAACUUCUGGGGGUAUCAGGAUGAAUGCACACAUACGUACAAUGUCGCAUCGGUAGUUCCUGAACCCGUUGAUGGAUCAUUCGAUUGCAGACGUCACAACACAGCCUGUCAAAAUGGCGGAGUAUGCAACUGGGCCAAUAAUGUUGGCACCUGUAAUUGUCCUAGCGGAUACUCUGAAUUUGACUGUAGCAUUCAGGAUAACACAGUAGGUGGUUCAUGCACACCUGAGUGCGUAGCAGACAAUACUCUGGCAUGUGUAGAUGUUGACGGGGGAACUUGCGUCUGCAAAUACCCGUUUACAAAUAUAGUGGGAACUGCCGAAGACUGUUCAGUCAAGAGGGUCGACGUGACGUGUACAGCAUCCAAUAUGGUGGUUACAAUCAUCCCAUACUUUGGCAAACCGAAGACCCAGUUUGAAGGGAAGAUUUUUAUUCGGGAUUUUGAUGAUCCUCCCUGUGAUUUUUCAUAUGUUAACAGCGAAUAUUGGAGUAGUGGAGAAAUAGGUUAUGAGCAGUGUGGAGUGAACAAAACAGAUGAUGCUCCUAAGGCUGGCAUGAUAACCUAUGAAGUGAAAGUGGUUGUGGCGUAUGAUCCUUGGGUUAUAACUUCAUUAGACGAAGUUGUCACUGCUCAAUGUACAAUGAUGGCCACUGGCGAGAUCACUACCACAUGGGGCGUUGAAAAUGUCAUUGAUUUAGCCGCUCUUAAAGACGGGGGUUCUGCUAUUGGGAAUGUUUCUCCUGUCUCAAUAUCUGUGACUGAUGCUGACGGCAAUGAAAUUUCAAGCAGUGCUGACAUAGGUGAACCAUUGGAGCUACAUUUCAUGCAGGUCGACCCGAAUGCUGGAACAUUUGCCGUGACAUCUUGCACAGCUUAUGACAAAAUGACGAUGGAUGGAGACUCUUACCCAAUUAUACAGGACAGGUGCAUUGCCCAAGGCGCUUCUAAAGUAAUCAACUUUGAAGGUGGCCCAAUUGAAAUUACUGAAGGAAAGAAAGUAUUGAGGUUCCUUUCAUUCAAGUUUCCAGGGACUUCCAGUGUUGUACUUCAGUGUGAUUUAGAAAUAUGUGCUGAUGAAAACGACCCCGCCUGUGCAGACAAGACUGACUGUGAUGGGCCAGUGUCACAAGGUCUAAGAAAACGAGCAGCAACCAGCAAUAUUAUAGAAUAUAGGAAGUCUUGGACUGUAACGGUGAAGGGAGCAAAAACAGAAGCUGGUUGUUCGACACUUGCGCCUAGUAUGUUGUUAUUAACCAUGGCUGUAGCAAUGCUGUUGUAGAGUAUGUCCAGUCCUUCACUCUCUUCUGCAUCCAAUCCUGCACCUGAGGAUCAAAUAAUAAAUACAUUGACUCACUCUUUUAAAUUGAUGAAAUGAUGUAUUAUCUUGUGUGGACCCCAAUCGAGUAUGUCAUGACUCAACGAGUUUGAAACUGCAAGUAGAAAACAAGGCAUUCAAGUUGGCAAGCCUAGCUAAGUGAAGUACUUUAGUUCUUGGACUCUUUUUGUCAGCUAGAGACAAAUUUUAAGUCAUAUAUCAAUCCAGAAACACAAACAGUCGUUGUAACAUACAGUCGGUGGUUAAUGUGACUAUUUAUUGAUACGUCAGACUAAAAUAUACCCCUAAAGGAAUGUACAGAUUUGUAUGUACCAUAUUACUCAAGUAUUAUGCAUAGUCAUACAUGAAAAAAUGAUUUGACCAAAGGUAUACCACGAAGAAAGUGACAAUAUAUUUUGUUAAUAAAGUAAACAAUAUUCUACAUCUAAUAAUUAUGUUUUGUGUAUUAUGAUUUACUCAGUUAUUUGAUGGAUAAUUGAUGUUUGAUGUUAUAAAUCAACAUUUUUACCCAUCUAUGAUGAAAGCCCCACGUCUCAAAUUAUGAUGUCAUGCGCAUCAUAUUUAAUAAUUUUUUACACAUCUAACAUGAAAGCCCC